rnacentral:tRNA from 1 species
GCGCGAGUGGUUUAGUGGUAAAAUUCACCGUUGCCAUCGAUGAGCCCCCAGUUCGAUUCCCGGGCUCGCGCA